CCAUGGAAACUGCGUUGGAAAGCAUGUGCUGUAGGGAAGUGAGUGCCUUUUGGUCGCUGGUCGAGAACCUUACACCGCGACCAAAUGUGACGUGCCUCACUCAGCAUCCAGGAUUUGACGCAUGCUGCCUGAAUCCGUUUGUGCUGAAGAUAGCUUACACCAAUUUCAGGCAGGAUUAUGGUCCCCUUCAAGCCAGCACGCACGAGCAAUACCGGUACACUGCAUACAGGCAGGCUAUACGCUGGGCAUAUGGAGUUCUUGGCAGGCAUAUAAGGAAGCCUCUACCCUCCUGUCUGGUUUCAGCUGUCAGGCAACAAGUGGUGAUGAGACCUAUAAUGGCUUUCAAUGGCCUCGUUUGGAUGAAAAUGAAUGAAAACCAUAUUGGCAUGUACAACAUUAAUAAAAUUACGUGUUACUUUGUAAAA